GAUGAACGCUGGCGGCGUGCUUAACACAUGCAAGUCGAACGGACUUACAUUGAAGCCUAGCGAUAUGUAAGUUAGUGGCGGACGGGUGAGUAACGCGUGGGUAACCUGCCGUAUACAGGGGGAUAACAGUUAGAAAUAGCUGCUAAUACCGCAUAAGCGCACAGCUUCGCAUGAAGCGGUGUGAAAAACUCCGGUGGUAUACGAUGGACCCGCGUCUGAUUAGCUAGUUGGUGAGGUAACGGCCCACCAAGGCGACGAUCAGUAGCCGGCCUGAGAGGGUGAACGGCCACAUUGGGACUGAGACACGGCCCAAACUCCUACGGGAGGCAGCAGUGGGGAAUAUUGCACAAUGGGGGGAAACCCUGAUGCAGCGACGCCGCGUGAGUGAAGAAGUAUUUCGGUAUGUAAAGCUCUAUCAGCAGGGAAGAAAAUGACGGUACCUGACUAAGAGCCCCGGCUAACUACGUG
rnacentral:rRNA from 1 species